AGAGAGAGAGAGAGAGAAGAGGGGUGGACAAACAUAGGACUGGGAAACUGGCCACUUUGUUUUUAACCCUAGUCUAAUGGGCUGGCACAUUUUUUUCAAAACUUAAAGGCCACAUAUGGUUCAAUAAAAUGCAAUUCUCAGAGCAAGGUUCCAGUUUCUAGCUUAGUAAACAAGAGUGUCAAAAUUUUUACAAUAUUUUUAAUUAAAGAACUUAGUAGACAUCAAUUUCAUUUCCAUAAGUGUACCAAACAUGCUCUAAGAGUCUAGUGUUCUUUCUUUCAAGUUUUUAUUGGUAUAUCAGUAUAUCACUGAUAAGUGAUAACCAUUAAUUUAUAUAAUAAGGGCCAUAAGUUAAACAUCAAAUUAGUCCAAAGCUUAUUCCUUUUAACCUUUCAUUUGAACCAUUAAUCCCUAUUUGUCUCUCUUUUAUGUUAUUUAUAUUUAUUUCUUUCAUAGGUAGAAUGAAGAGAAUCAAAUGCCCAGUAUGGAAGUGUGAUAAGUU
rnacentral:misc_RNA from 1 species